CAAAUCAUUAAAUGGGUUUAGCUACUGUGAGUUCCAGUAUGGUCGUUUAUUGAUCACAAAGAAAUUGCUUCUGCCAUUGGAAGUAUGACAUGAGUCCUGACUUCUGCAGUGUAGGAAUCUGUAGUUUCUCCAUGGUGGUAAAAAGUGAAGGAGUUCUCCUGAUAUUCCCCAUCACUUUUCAUAACAGAAUGUGCAUCUUAUCUUCACUGAUAUAAACAAUCUCGGUAAGAAUCCUCUAUCUUCAAACAAACCUCUAACACCAUGGAUCAUUGUUUCAAAAUGUCUGGUAUGGGCUUGAAGGCACAUUAUGGAGGCAUCAGAUGGUCGGGGGGGGGGGGGAUCGGCAAUGGGAGGCUACCACGACAAGCAACUAGCAAAGAAAGAGGAGCUCUGGACUAGGCAUUACAUGCUGGACACCAUGGACUGAAAACAUGAGACAUGGAUUGACACGGGAACGAUGUAUUACAAUUCCGUUUCCCAUAUAAUCUAAAAGGAUGAGUUGGGCUUCCUUUCAUGAGCUUCUUUUCUGUAAGGUUCAUGUAUAGAGAAAGAAGAAACAAAUAUAAACAUUAUAGCCUAGAUGAGGAAUUGAGGAUAACGGUGGUUUAUCUCAAUGCCACAUGUUUAGUUGGUGGAGCAUGCUCUUGGAGUACGCAUGGAAAUUAACUUGAUGGAAGAAAAUAACAUGGCAAUAAGGUGGCUAGAUUUUUCUGUUCUUUUACACAGUACAUUUAUGUUUAUUUAAAAUCAAUUGCCAGAAAAUUUCAUGUUCCAAUGAAGGGGAUUUUCCCCCAUGAUUUGGUGUUCCUUUUUCUUUUGAUUUAA